rnacentral:rRNA from 1 species
ACCUGGUUGAUAUUGCCAGUAGCAUAUGCUUGUCUCAAGCAUCAAGCCAUGAACUUACAAGUACACAUGGCUGCCACAGUGAAACUACGGGGCAAUUGCACAUCCCUGUGGUGGGCAAUAAAAUUGGAGGUCUGCCCUAUCAACUUUCAAUUGCAGUGUCUGUCCCUACAAUGGUGACCAUGGGUAAUAGGGAAUCGGGGUUCGAGAGAGAGGGAGUCUGAGAAACAGCUACCACAUCCAAGGAAUUCAUCAGGUGCAUACAUUACCCACUCCUGACCCGGGGAGAUAGUGACAAAAUCUAAGAAUACAGGACUCUUAUGAUGCUCAGUAAUUGGAAUGAGUGCACUUUGAAUCCAUUAACAAGGAUCCAUCGGACGGCAAGUCUGGUGCCAGCAUCUUCCAUAAUUCCAGCUCAAAUAGCUCAUCCGAAAGUUGCUGCCAUUAAAAAUGUAUGUAGUUGGAUCUAGAGAUGAAGCUGGUGGUCUGCUGCAAAGUGAGCAACUGUUUCUACCAGCCCCUGCCUAUCGGUGCCCCCUUGAUGCACUUGACUGAGUGUCCUGGUGGGUCCAAAGUGUUUACUUAUACUAAAUAAGAGUGUUCCUGAUUAAUUGACUCCUGCUUCUAUUGUGUUGGUUGGUGGAACGGACACCAAGGACAGCUGGCCACAUGGGGGAAAUAGCUUGGGCCCUUCAUAAUAUGCUGGUAGAGUUGUAACUCUUUGAAUGGGACAAGAGGCUCCAAAGUGAAGCAUUUGCCAAGAAAGUCUUCAUCAAACCAGAAUGAAUGUCUGAGGUUUGAAGACAAUCAGAUACCAUCACAGGUUUGACCACAAAGGACGCCAACUAGCUAUAUGGUGGCUUUAUUCCCAUUACCCACCGAUUGGCUUCCGAGAAAGCAUAGUCUCUGAGUUCCAGGGUUAGUAUGCUUGCAAAGCAGAAAAGUAAAUGAAUUGAUGGAAGGGCACCACCAGGAGUGGAUCCUGCAGCUUGAAUUGACUCAACAUGGCAACCACCACCUGAACUGGACACAGAAAGGAUUGUCAGAUUGAUGUCUCUGUUUCUAUUCUGAUGUGUAGGUGCAUGGCUGUUCUUAGUUGGCCAGAGUGAUUUGUGUGGUCAAUUCUGAUAAUGAGAUCCCCCCAGCUGUUGGUGUUCAAAUUCUUAGAGGGACGAAUAGCAUUCAGCCACAGAAGAUCAAGCAAAGAACAGGUAUGUGAUGACCUUAGAUGUCCGUGGAGGCAUGUGUGCCACAUUGAAUGGAUCACUGUGUGUCUAGCAUUUGCCAACACGUGCAGGUAACCUGCUCAGCCACUUGUGUGAAAGGGAUUGGGGAGGUGUACUGUGUUUAUAUCGAAAAUUAUAUAGUGAAAGAAACAUUUAUAAAUAUUUUAUAUCGGAAACUUUAUAGUGAAUGUAUUAAGAGGUGGUGUAAAGGGUAAAUAUUUUCGGGAAACGGUUUGGGUUGGUUUUAGGGUUGGAAA